rnacentral:rRNA from 1 species
CCUGCGGAAGGAUCAUUGUCGAAACCUGCACAGCAGAACGACUCGUGAACGUGUUAAACAACUCCGCGGGGGGAGUAGGCGGCCUCGGCUCCGAUCCCCCCCGCGUCGGCGGUGCGCGAGUGCCCCGGCAAAACAACGAACCCCGGCGCGAAUUGCGCCAAGGAAAUGCAAAACGAAAAGAGAACGUCGCGGCGUCCCCGUUCGCGGGAGGCGCGGCCGGCCGUUCCUCGAUUCAUAACAUUCAAAACGACUCUCGGCAACGGAUAUCUCGGCUCUCGCAUCGAUGAAGAACGUAGCGAAAUGCGAUACUUGGUGUGAAUUGCAGAAUCCCGUGAACCAUCGAGUCUUUGAACGCAAGUUGCGCCCCAAGCCAUUAGGCCGAGGGCACAUCUGCCUGGGUGUCACGUAUCGUCGCCCCUCCCUACCUCUCUUUGCGGAGGGCGGGCGGAGAAUGGCCUCCCGUGCGCUCCCCGCUCGCGGCUGGCCCAAACACGAGUCCCAGGCGACCAGAGCGCCGCGACGAUCGGUGGUGUGUCUUUAUGCUCGUCGCACGUCGCGCGCGUCGGUCGCCCUUAGGGAUGCCUCGAGACCCUGACGCGUCCUCUCGGGAGACGCUCGCAUCGCGACCCCAGGUCGGGUGGGACUACC